rnacentral:rRNA from 1 species
UAUUCCUACGGGGGGCAGCAGUCGGGAAUAUUGCGCAAUGGAGGAAACUCUGACGCAGUGACGCCGCGUAUAGGAAGAAGGUCUUCGGAUUGUAAACUAUUGUCGUUAGGGAAGAGAAAGGACAGUACCUAAGGAGGAAGCUCCGGCUAACUACGUGCCAGCAGCCGCGGUAAUACGUAGGUGGCGAGCGUUGUCCGGAAUUACUGGGUGUAAAGGGAGUGUAGGCGGGAAAGCAAGUCAGAAGUGAAAACUAUGGGCUUAACCCAUAGCCUGCUUUUGAAACUGUUUUUCUUGAGUGAAGUAGA